UACGUAGGUGGCAAGCGUUAUCCGGAAUUAUUGGGCGUAAAGCGCGCGCAGGUGGUUCUUUAAGUCUGAUGUGAAAGCCCCCGGCUCAACUGGGGAGGGUCACGCGAUACUGAUCGACUCGAAGGCAGGAGAGGGUAGUGGAAUUCCCGGUGUAGUGGUGAAAUGCGUAGAUAUUGGGAGGAACACCAGUGGCGAAGGCGGCUCACUGGACCGGAACUGACGCUGAGGCGCGAAAGCGUGGGGAGCAAACGGG
rnacentral:rRNA from 1 species